CUACGGGGGGCACCAGUGGGGAAUAUUGCACAAUGGGCGCAAGCCUGAUGCAGCCAUGCCGCGUGUAUGAAGAAGGCCUUCGGGUUGUAAAGUACUUUCAGCGGGGAGGAAGGGAGUAAAGUUAAUACCUUUGCUCAUUGACGUUACCCGCAGAAGAAGCACCGGCUAACUCCGUGCCAGCAGCGCGCGGUAAUACGGAGGGUGCAAGCGUUAAUCGGAAUUACUGGGCGUAAAGCGCGCGCAGGCGGUUUGUUAAGGCAGAUGUGAAAUCCCCGGGCUCAACCUGGGAACUGCAUCUGAUACUGGCAAGCUUGAGUCUCGUAGAGGGGGGUAGAAUUCCAGGUGUAGCGGUGAAAUGCGUAGAGAUCUGGAGGAAUACCGGUGGCGAAGGCGGCCCCCUGGACGAAGACUGACGCUCAGGUGCGAAAGCGUGGGGAGCAAACAGGAUUAGAUACCCCCGUAGUC
rnacentral:rRNA from 1 species